AGAACUCUGUUCAAUCCGAAGCUUUACGUUUAUCACGUAAAAGGUUUAUGUAGGAAGAAUGGAGUUUU
rfam:Clostridium sp. CAG:302 genomic scaffold, scf76